rnacentral:lncRNA from 1 species
UGUGGUACGAACAAUAACAUAGAUGUUUUUUAGGGUAAAAAAAAUAAAAGUUUCAAGCAUGGUUCAUAUAAAUUUUAAACACAAAUUGAAGAAUUAAGGUGGAGAGGGAGUUGUAUUGACUCCUUUUUAUUUGAUUAAUGUUCAUUAAUCAUAGUUGAUCUAUUUUAAGUUAGAUAGUUUUGGUAAACAUUUGAUUCAAAUGCCUUUGAUUACC